UUGGAGUUGAUGCAUUACUAAACAUCUGAGUAGUGCUGAUGGUGUUUUGUAUUCAUACUGUCUGAUCCAG